rnacentral:rRNA from 1 species
CCCUUAGAUGUCCUGGGCCGCACGCGCGUUACACUGAUGCAUUCAACGAGCUUAUAACCUUGGCCGAGAUGCCUGGGCAAUCUUGUUAACGUGCAUCGUGAUAGGGAUAGAUUAUUGAAAUUAUUAAUCUUGAACGAGGAAUUCCUAGUAAACGCAGAUCAUCAAUCUGCAUUGAUUACGUCCCUGCCCUUUGUACACACCGCCCGUCGCACCUACCGAUUGGAUGGUCCGGUGAAGCCUCGGGAUUGUGGUUCUUGCCGCUUUAUUGUGGCGUGACCGCGAGAACUUGUCUAAACCUUAUCAUCUAGAGGAAGGUGAAGUCGUAACA